GUGCUUGCUUCGGCAGCACAUAGACUAAAAUUGGAACGAUACAGAGAAGAUUAGCAUGGCCCCUGCGCAAGGAUGGCACACAAAUUCAUGAAGGGUUCCAUAUUUUU
ensembl:snRNA Gm25633 predicted gene, 25633